AAUUUUGGACAAUGGGGGAAACCCUGAUCCAGCCAUCCCGCGUGUAUGAUGAAGGCCUUCGGGUUGUAAAGUACUUUUGGCAGAGAAGAAACGGUACCUCCUAAUACGAGGUACUGUUGACGGUAUCUGCAGAUUAAGCACCGGCUAACUACGACCCAGCAGCCGAAGUAAUACGUUGGGUGCAAGCGUUAAUCGGGAUUACUGGGCGUAAAGCGUGGUUAGGCGGUUCGGAAAGAAAGAUGUGAAAGCCCAGGGGUCAACCUUGGAACUGCAUUUUUAACUGGCGAGCUAGAGUAUGUCAGAGGGGGGUAGAAUUCCACGUGUAGCAGUGAAAUGCGUAGAUAUGCGGAGGAACACCGAUGGCGAAGGCAGCCCCCUGGGAUAAUACUGACGCUCAGACACGAAAGCGUGGGGAGCAAACA
rnacentral:rRNA from 1 species